UACGUAGGGGGCAAGCGUUAUCCGGAUUUACCGGGCGUAAAGGGAGCGCAGGCGGCGCGCCAAGUCUGAUGUGAAACCCCGGGGCUCAACCCCGGGCAUGCAUUGGAAACUGGCGGGCUGGAGUGCCGGAGAGGUAAGCGGAAUUCCUAGUGUAGCGGUGAAAUGCGUAGAUAUUAGGAGGAACACCAGUGGCGAAGGCGGCUUACUGGACGGCAACUGACGCUGAGGCUCGAAAGCGUGGGGAGCAAACAGG
rnacentral:rRNA from 1 species